rnacentral:lncRNA from 1 species
CCACGUUCAGCUUAGAUUCCUACUCUGGCAUCUGGUCGCCGCAGGACACUGGGUAACAUCUAACUCCAGUCUCUCCUGCAGCAGAAGGCCAAAGCCCCCUCCCCAGAGCAGACCCCUAGCACUCCACAGCAGGAUCACAAGCUGGUCUCUGGUCCCAGACCCUGCGGAUCCUUGUCGACGCUUCCAGUCUCGAUCACUUCCCGAUGGUUUGAAUGUGAAGUCAACAAUCCACGGAACAAUUUGCACUUACUGUUUCUAGGGCUUUUGCAGUUAAAAGUGUCUUCAGUUUCCCCGAUCUUCCUGCAGAUGCCCCUGCAGUCAGAAGCUGAGUCUGUCCCUUCUCCCAGCAGCAGCUGGGUACAGGAUCUAACAUCAGUCUCUGCCUGCUGGGCAGAAGCCACAGCUGCAACGUGCUUUCAGAAAAAUGGGCCAGGCCAAAGGAGCUCCCCGUCAGUGCUUUUCAGUGUUCCCAGCACAAAGAUAAAAUUACACUUCCAUAGGAGUACACAAACUAAAAAUAAAAUUUAAAGAAAGCGAUCUAGUUCUGUAUCAUUUUCCCCAUGGUCGGGUCCCAUUCGGGUCACUGGACAUGCACUGAAAU